UGGUUUCGAGACCUGAAAACCAGUUGGCUUUUAACCAAUUGGUCGUAGGUUCGAAUCCCACACGACCCACCA
rnacentral:tRNA from 13 species